CACACAUCUGCAGGGGAAAAAAUAGCUCACCAUUGCAUUUACUCAGGCGCAGCCUUUUCUGGCAGCCUCUGGGCCACUUCAGAUUGAUCCAACACUUGGAAUUUGCCACCACCAGUCAGUCAAGUAGUCAGUGAUCUGCAGACCCUCACAACGCACUAAGGAAGUCUGCUAUUCACACGGGCCUUUAAUGCAAUACUCCAGGGGUUAGGAGGCAUUAUUUCUUUGCUCUGUGAUGUCUCUCUGUGUGCUCUGGAACAACAGAAGGCAAUUCCUGUAGGGCAGCACUGGUCUUUAUUUAUUUUUUAUCCUGGACACCUAACAGUGGAUGGAUGAAUCGUGAUGUGCUAAACUGGUUCCCUGUUGCAGCUGGACUAGUAACUUUGCUUCUAAAUCAGAGCCACUACAAUUCAGAGUGAUGGAUCAAAGAUAAAACCUGCUUUGUAACACGGGGUAUAUUGCUAUUUCU